rnacentral:rRNA from 1 species
CACACCGCCCGUCACACCAUGGGAGUUGGCUUUACCCGAAGGCGGUGCGCUAACCAGCAAUGGAGGCAGCCGACCACGGUAGGUCAGCGACUGGGGUG